UAGUCCCUCCUCCCUCGGUCCACUGGACAUUGGAGACACAUCUCCAUCCCAUCCGGAUUCAUUUCCUCUAUGAGUCAUCCUAGAUUAGAUCAGCUUGGAUGGAUUCCCUUCAUUCCAAAGGUUGAUUCUGCCCUCAAAUCAGAUCCAAUUCUUUUGUUUUGUCCAAUCAGUUAGCUGUGAAUUUGGUUCAAUCUGCCCUCAAAUCCAUCCAUCUAUUGUUGGAUUUGGUUCUUCACAGUAGGAUCGAGCCGAAGGUGCACAAACGCAGGGGUGAGGGCUUAGGUUGCAGGCACAUUAGGGCACCAACCAAACACCACUCCGGUAAAUCUCAGGCUAAUUUAACUGUUAUUCCACAACUUUUCAAGUACUAUCAUUCUUGCAGGCUAAUUCAACUGUCGUUCCAAAACUUUUCAAAUAUUAUUGUCAUUGCAAGUACAUAACAACAUUUCCUGUCUUUUGCACAGUACUUCUUUUAUUGUACUAUUUACUAUUGUACUAUAGGAAUGAAGUAAAUAUUGACAGCAUAAGCUUUAAGUGAACGGCUAAGUUCCAUACGAGGUUGAAAAGAAAAUAUUUUCCUUUACAUGCACAGCUGCAAAUUGUUGGUCCACACUUAUGAAUCAGCUUUUGAUCUAUAGUGUCGGAAACUCUGCAUGUCAAAAGCCAAUUUAUAAUUGUCGACUAAUAAUUUGCAGUUGUACCCUUAAAGAAAAAAUAUUAUCUUUUGAGCCUGGUAUGAAACUUACCCAUUCGCUUAAAGCUAAGUCUUAUCCAACAACUUUAUCUGGUGUGUUCAAUCGAGGUACGCUGUUUUAAUUUAUUCAUAAAGGAAAAAUCUUCUCUCUUUAAUCUGCCAUCCAAUUUCUAUUACAGAGGAAUUAAGAUAUUAUUGCACAACUUACAUAAAUAUUUUCUUUUUUAUUGUAAAUAGGGAAAAAUUAGGCACUCAUUCUGCUGUAACAACGUAUACUAACCAAUUUAAUAUGGGGUGUGUUGUGUUUCCAUUUAUUCAUGAUUUACUACUACCUACAAUAUUAAAUCAGUUUAGACAAUGUUUAGUGUCCAAAGCUCGUUUGUGGAAUUGUUGAGUACUGUAAUUACAAAAUGUAAUAUAAAACAAUAAUUUACAGUCGUACGAUAAAGCUAAAUCUUUUCUUUUAAUAUACCAUGAAAUUUAGUUGUUUUUUAAAGCGAAUACUGUCAACAUUUGCUUUGCAACUUCAUUGGAAGAAGCUUUAGCAUAUUGCAACAAGGUUUUAUACCAACUCUCAACACCAUACAUUUCAUCACUCCUUAAUUUUUAUAAUAGUUAAUUCAAAUGAUCAUUUCAUCUUAUACUCACUUACUAUAUUGAACUCGGGAUGGUUUGCUAUAUAUCCCUUUAAACUUUAAACGAUUAAUCUAAGAUAGUGGGAGUACAUAGUAACAGUUAUAAUAUAUGUACAUGUUGAACUGUCUUUCUAUCGAGUUGUCUUUAAAAUAGGCAUGAGCACACAGGACGUGCAAGUGCAUCAUCCUCUCCCCAAUGUGAUCAUGAUUUCUUUUUCAAAGACAACUUGAUAAAAAGACAAUUUAACACAUACAUAUACUAUCACUGUUACAUAAUAUCAAGAUGUCGUGUGCAUGCGUUUCCAACUUUUCACAUGCCCUAC